CCAUCAGCUUCCUCUGGACUGAGAUUCCCUCCAGGAAGGAGAAGGAAGCUUCACGAGAUUCAGGAAGCAAACAAACUUCUCCUGUCUGAGAAAACUGAUCCUCAAGGCCCUUCCCAAAAUGGCAGCAUGCACCAGCUGCUGGGGAAGAAAAAUCUGACCAGCCAAGCUCGAGAUUUCUUGUCCUGUCAGGCUGACUGCAGGAUGCAGCUUAUGAGAGGCCACCUGGGGUGGUGGGCUCUGGGCACUGCAGCUGCCUCUGAGUCAUCACCACACCUGUAACCAACCCCAAGAAAAACUCAUCGGUUCCCCAAGCUGACUCUGGUACAACUGUUAUUUUGGUCUGCAGUUGGGUCCCGUUCUGGGAUGAGCAGACAUGUGUGUUGCUUCUGUGCUAAUGGCACCUCUACAGCCUGUGAUCGUGGCAGUUUCUAACUGCGCUGUUCAAGUGAACAGGAUGUGAACUGAGAGUAAAAUGAGGAAUCAGCCACUGAAAGAUAAGCCACACCUGAGCAGUGAGACGCACCUCCAGACCUACACAGCAACGCGGGGACAACUUAAGCCUCGGCUUCCUGUUUGCCCUCUCUGCACCUUCUCUUGGGUUUGAAAGUAUCUCAGUGGGGUCUGCCUAGUGACCUCCAAGUAUCCGGGUCAGAAUGAUGCAUCGUGGCUCCAUCCAGAACAGCCCAAAUCACCCUUGUCCCAGUUGCCUGAAUUACAGUCAAGGUUUCCAGAACUCCUGGCGAUUCCUUCCAGUGUGAAUUAACUUUAUGGGACAUAAUUUCCUAGUACAAGGUGUUUUUUUUUAAGUCUUUAAUAAAAUGUUCUGCUAUGACCUGUUUUUGCACUA